UAACAUCGGAACGUGCCCUGUAGUGGGGGAUGACUAGUCGAAAGAUUAGCUAAUACCGCAUACGACCUGAGGGUGAAAGUGGGGGACCGCAAGGCCUCAUGCUAUAGGAGCGGCCGAUGUCUGAUUAGCUAGUUGGUGAGGUAAAGGCUCACCAAGGCGACGAUCAGUAGCUGGUCUGAGAGGACGAUCAGCCACACUGGGACUGAGACACGGCCCAG
rnacentral:rRNA from 1 species